CCUACGGGAGGCAGCAGUAGGGAAUUUUCCUCAAUGAGCGAAAGCCUGAAGGAGCGAUGCCGCGUGAGUGAUGAAGGUCUUCGGAUCGUAAAGCUCUGUUAUAAGGGAAGAACAGUUACAAUAGGAAAUGAUGGUAUCGUGACGGUACCUUACCAGAAAGCGACGGCUAACUACGUGCCAGCAGCCGCGGUAAUACAUAGGUGGCAAGCGUUAUCCGGAAUUAUUGGGCGUAAAGGGUUCGUAGGCUGAAAGUUAAGUCUGGAGUAAAAGCCGUGGGCUCAACCCACGGUAGCUUUGGAUACUAGCAAGCUAGCGUGCAGUAGAGGUGAGCGGAAUUCCAUGUGAAGCGGUAAAAUGCGUAGAUAUAUGGAGGAACACCAGAGGCGAAGGCGGCUAACUGG
rnacentral:rRNA from 1 species